GCCUUUGAGACACCAAGGUGCUGCAAGAAAAACAGUCCCCGAAAGGCAUUUGUCUUCCACAGCACGUCUGCCACAAUCUGGGGUCCGGUAGGAUCCACAGAAACAUGUAUCUCAGGCCAGCUGGUGGUCAGAAGGGCCUUGAAUUGGUUCUACAGCGAUCCUCAGUGAGUGGCCGUAAGGGAACCGGAUGCACCAACAGGAGGAAAGGACGGUGGUCGAGAAGGCUCCCACGCCCCAGCACACGGGCAGUUUGAGGUGGGUUUCCUACCUUUGUUCGAAGCCUUGCUGGAAUGUGAUUGAAUCUCGGCGGCAGCUGACGUACAGACACUGCUAGAGAUGGACGUUUCUCCGUAAUCAGGAGUUGCUGGGUGUGCCUGGAGAAGCUCCAAAAAGGUUAAUAAGUGCCUGUGGAAGCAAGAGAGGGAAGAUUGAAAGAGACCUCAGGAAAUUCUCACAAUGGUGCACGGAAAAGGAGGCAAGUGCCAAGUCUCUAGUCUGCCUUUAGAUCAAUGAAGAGAAACAUAAACAGAAGGAGCAGAGUGGGUGACACCCACUGCUGUCACAUGACUGGCUAUGUGAUCCGCACUUCCUCUCCCACACAUGCCAACUGCCUCUGAGCCUGGGAAUGGGAGAAAUGGACACAGAACCCUCCUCACCUGGUCCUCGGGGAUUGGGAAAAAAAUGGGCUGGUAUGACUUGAGUUCAGCUGUUCAGAGCCCCUGAGAACAGAGUCCCUCAACUCACCAUUUUGCUUUGGAAGGCUUAUUAUUUUACAUUUCUCAAAAUAACAUGGUAAAAUUACAGGCAACACAAACAAGAUUCAA